rnacentral:rRNA from 1 species
GCCCUGCCUGCCCAGUGAUAUAAUUCAACGGCCGCGGUAUUCUGACCGUGCAAAGGUAGCAUAAUCACUUGUCUUUUAAAUAAAGACUAGAAUGAACGGCAAAACGAGGUAUCAACUGUCUCCUUUAUCUAGUCAAAGAAACUGAUCUCUCUGUGAAAAAGCAGAGAUAAUUAUACAAGACGAGAAGACCCUAUGAAGCUUAAAUACACACAUACAAAAACUUAUUCAUAUAAGUCCUAAAUCAAUAACUGUAACACAUUUGGUUGGGGUGACCACGGAGAAAAAGUAACCUCCGAGAAAAUAAAUUAAGAAAAACAAUUCAAAAUUAGACCAAAUAACUUGAUCCAAUCUUAUUGAACAACGAAACAAGUUACUCUAGGGAUAACAGCGCAAUAUUCUCCAAGAGUUCCUAUCGACGAGAAAGUUUACGACCUCGAUGUUGGAUCAGGAUAUCCAGACAAUGCAGCCGUUGUCACAGGUUUGUUUGUUCAACAAUUAAAAUCCU